rnacentral:rRNA from 1 species
UACGGAAGGGGCAAGCGUUGUUCGGAAUCAUUGGGCGUAAAGGGCGCGUAGGUGGCUCUGUAUGUCUACCGUGAAAGCAUACAGCUCAACUGUAUUUUUGUCGGUAGAAAACUGCAGGACUUGAGGCUGGGAGGGGCUGGUGGAAUUCCCUGUGUAGCGGUGAAAUGCGUAGAGAUGGGGGGAGAACACCGGUGGCGAAAGCGGCUCUCUGGUCCGGACCUGACGCUGAGGCGCGAAAGCGUGGGGAGCAAACAGGG